ensembl:snoRNA small nucleolar RNA SNORA2/SNORA34 family
CUGGCCCUGAAUCAAGGCUGGCAGCUUUCUAACGCUGUUGGUCUUAAACAGGAGCCCAGAGAGAUAUCUUUCUAUGGUCUGUUGGCCAUUUCAGAACUUGGGCAGUGAAAUGGUCAAUGCAUUAGAGAGAAACAGGU